rnacentral:lncRNA from 10 species
AAAAAAAGGGAGGAAGAGAAGGAGGAGGGGAUGAUAGUCUCAAGCAGCCUGAAGAGAGCUAAGGGUGGGGUGGAAGGCAAGAAUUAGGACAGCAGACAAACAGGAUGCAUUAAAAGAACUACAAGGAACUGGGCAUGGAUGGAGCAUAGAAUGCAUUUGGGAAGGAGAAGCUGUAGAAUUAGGCAAAGGCCCUAGAAGCAAGGUUUUUAAAGCCAUGGUGGGUGAGAGCUUGAACUUUAAGAGCAGGAGUAUUUUAAGCAGUGGGAGUUUCCACUGUAGCGUUUUAAGCAGUGGGAGUGACAUAUUUGUGCUUGCAUUUAAGAAAAUCCUUUUAGGAAGUGUAACAAAGAGAAGCUGAUUCAGGUGGGCCUAACAGACAUUUGCAACUGAGACCCUGGUGUUUACAAGAAGGAGACAAUAUAAGCAGAGUUCCUCUUUGCGGAUUGAUAUUGAAUGCAGCCUAUUCACAUCUGGGUGUGAUAACUCUAUAAAAUUGCUGCCUAAUUUGGCCUUUCUUAUGACCACAUUCAUGGCCAGGAGUGACCAGCCACAUGUCAAUGGAUGUCAUCACAAAUGCCCAGGGGCUAAACCUGACUUCACAACUUCAAAGACCCAGCUACGAGGAGAUGCAUAGAAGCCUACAGAAAAAUGGGAAGAUCUGACCCAUGCUUCAACCUGGCUGCUAUUGACAGGAACUGGGAAGCUUUUCUUGUUUUAGAU